CGCGUAGGCGGAUCGGUAAGUCGGGGGUGAAAUCCCGGGGCUCAACCCCGGAAUGGCCUUCGAAACUCCCGGUCUUGAGUUCGAGAGAGGUGAGUGGAAUUCCGAGUGUAGAGGUGAAAUUCGUAGAUAUUCGGAGGAACACCAGUGGCGAAGGCGGCUCACUGGCUCGACACUGACGCUGAGGUGCGAAAGCGUGGGGAGCAAACAGG
rnacentral:rRNA from 1 species